rnacentral:rRNA from 1 species
AUACGUAGGUGACAAGCGUUAUCAGGAUUUACUGGGUGUAAAGGGAGCGUAGACGGCGAAGCAAGUCUGAAGUGAAAGGACGGGGCCCAACCCCGGAACUGCUUUGGAAACUGUUUGGCUGGAGUGCGGGAGGGGUAAGCGGAAUUCCUCGUGUAGCGGUGAAAUGCAUAGAUAUUAGGAGGAACACCGGGUGGGACGGCGGUUUACUGGCCCGUAACUGACGUUGAUGCGCGAAGGCGUGGGGAGCAAACAGGAUUAGAUGCCCUGGUAGUCCACGCGGUAAGCGAUGCUCACUAGGUGUUCGUGUGUAUGACCCAUGGGUGCUGCAGCCAACGCACUAAGUGAUCCACCUGGGGAGAAAGUUCGCCAUAACGAAGAUCAAAGAAAUUGACGGGG